AUAUGUGUCUGUGAUUUUAACCAAAGCCAGGAAAGGCUCUCUUGCUCAAAACCCUAAAUUGCAAGAACUGAUCAAAUCAAAGAGGCAAUCAAACCCAAAUCGAAAAUCCAAGCACAAAUUGGUGAUCACCUCAGUGAAGUGAUCACAAGAUGACGAGAGUUGAAUGAAUUGUGGAUAUGACUGUGGAACGGCCCGAGUUUGACGCUAAACGAGCUAGGUGGCGGCUUGGGAAAAGAAGCGGGUCAAACGGCUUGAAAACGCGGAGAAAGAGCGAAACCGGAUGAGAGGUAAGUUAAGCUACGCCCUUUUUACUUUUAUUACAAAAUGCUUAUUUGUGAGCAUGGAAUACGAUUUAUAUUAAGUAAAUGAAACAUGAUGUUCCGGCGCGAUAUAAUGCUAGUCGGAACAAGUGAAAAUGGUAGAAACCAUAAAUUAUGGUAGAAAGGGGUAAAAAUGGUGAAAUGGUAAUCCGGACAUGGGUUAACGAAUAGAUAAAGGGAUUUAAAAUGACACCAUUUGGCAUAAGUCAUAAUGGGUCAAAUAAAACAGGAAACGACUUUCAAGUUGGAUGAUUUCAAAAACUAAACCGGGAUAGGUUAAAGGGGUGAAAUGGUAAUUAAGUGCCAUCUUAUAAUGACAAUUGGUCAUUUCGACUAAACGCGUCAAAUGGUGUUCUUAACACCAUUUGUCAAUAAUAUUUGAUGAUUGCUUGUCAAGUUUUGUGAUCACAGGAAUUAACACAUGGCUAGCAUUGCUAUUAACUAGAUAUUAUUAGCGAAAGGUAUUUAAACGGGUCAAUCUUAUGACCCGAGUCAGGUACGCAUGUUUAGAAUUAUAGCUAAAAGUAAUAUUUUGGUCAAAUAAUAUCGGAAGUCCUUCGUCGCGCAAAUGAAGGGCUAAAAUUGACCAAAAAGCCGUUGAGGGGUAAAUAGGGUAAACAACCUUUAAAGAGUUGUUUUGAAAUAAGCGUCUUGUUAAAUUGAGUCCUUGGAAUUUGUAUAAAAAUGGUGAUAGGAUGUAAACCAAUAGAAGCAUGAUUUAAGUCUAAAAAUGUAAAAUACUCGUAACAGGUCAAAACGAGUGUAUAUGCAUAACGGGUUAAAACUUCUUAAGGAACCCGUAAAGUUAAAUCUUGAAAAUUAGUAAACGGGUAUAACAUGAUGACCAUGGGAUUUUGAAGGAAAAUAACAAAUUAGUUUGGUAAAAGCAUAAACGGGUCAAAAGUGUCAUAGUUGAUUAUCAAUCCGAGAGCUUGAAAUCUAAAUUUUUUUGAAUUCGGAUGUUGGAUUUUAACUCCAUGUGAUGGAGAAUUAAAUUACGAACGCGUAGGAAAAAAGAAUCGUGUAAAACGGAUCAAUAACGAAUGAGUUAUGUCCGUUUUCGUGAAACUUGGGUUGGCUAGGAAUUAUACAGCAACAAAUAAAUAACUUGCUGUCAAAAAGGGGGCUAGGUGGGGCGUCUAGCCCCCUCUGAAUUCCAAAAAUGUUUAAUUUUGUUUGUUUGACCCAUAUAACUUGUUUAAACUUGUUAUUUAAAGUUAGUUUUGAUCAUAGGUGAUCGCCAAGAGUGCCCGGAUGAAGAUCAAGCUCGAAGAAGAACCGAACACGAUAAAGUUAAAAGCUUCCGCACGGCGUUUCGUCCUAUCUCUUAAACGACGAACUCAAAUUCAUUACGAUGUACUUAAACCUUUAUUUGUAAAAGUUUUAAAUUAACCGUAUUUAGUAAAGUACAUUUAAUCAUGAUUACAUGCUUAAUUUAGUAAACAAUACGAAGACCUUAAAAUAAUAACAAGGGUGUUAC
rnacentral:lncRNA from 1 species